rnacentral:rRNA from 1 species
GAUCCUGGCUCAGGAUGUAACGCUAGGCGGCAGGCCUAACACAUGCAAGUCGAGGGGUAGAGUGCUUCGGCACUUGAGACCGGCGCACGGGUGCGUAACACGUGUACAAUCUACCUUUUGCUAAGGGAUAGCCCGAAGAAAUUUGGAUUAAUACCUUAUAGUAUUGUUUGGUGGCAUCACUGAAUAAUUAAAGCUUUGGUGGCAAAAGAUGAGUACGCGUCCCAUUAGCUAGUUGGUGUGGUAACGGCAUACCAAGGCUACGAUGGGUAGGGGCCUGAGAGGGAGGUCCCCCACACUGGUACUGAGACACGGACCAGACUCCUACGGGAGGCAGCAGUGAGGAAUAUUGGACAAUGGUCGGAAGACUGAUCCAGCCAUGCCGCGUGCAGGAUGACGGCCUUAUGGGUUGUAAACUGCUUUUAUACAGGAAGAAUAAGGUCUACGAGUAGAUUGAUGACGGUACUGUAUGAAUAAGCAUCGGCUAACUCCGUGCCAGCAGCCGCGGUAAUACGGAGGAUGCGAGCGUUAUCCGGAAUCAUUGGGUUUAAAGGGUCCGUAGGCGGGCUUAUAAGUCAGAGGUGAAAGCACUGANGCUCAACUAGUACUCCUUUGAAACUGUAGGUCUUGAAUGUUUGUGAAGUAGCUGGAAUGUGUAGUGUAGCGGUGAAAUGCAUAGAUAUUACACAGAACACCGAUUGCGAAGGCAUGUUACUAACAAAUUAUUGACGCUGAUGGACGAAGCCGUGGGG